rnacentral:tRNA from 1 species
GGGGGCGGAGGCGCUGCGGGGCGCCCUGCGGCUGGCCCCGCUGCACGAGCUCACCGGGGGCGCUCCGCCGCGCCCCGUCCCCCC